AGUGAAGAAGGCCUUCGGGUUGUAAAGCUCUGUCGGGCGGGACGAAAACUUUUAGGGUUAACAGCCUUAGAAAUUGACGGUACCGCUAAAGGAAGCACCGGCUAACUUCGUGC
rnacentral:rRNA from 1 species